rnacentral:rRNA from 1 species
UGCCAGCCGCCGCGGUAAUACGGAGGGUGCAAGCGUUAAUCGGAAUUACUGGGCGUAAAGCGCGCGUAGGCGGUUUUGUAAGUCGGAUGUGAAAUCCCCGGGCUUAACCUGGGAACUGCACUCGAUACUGCAUAACUAGAGUAUGGUAGAGGGAAGUGGAAUUUCCGGUGUAGCGGUGAAAUGCGUAGAUAUAUAAAGGAAUGUCAGUGGCGAAGGCAAUUGUCUGGGUUAUUUACUGACGUUGAGGAACGAAAGUAUGGGUAGCAAACAGGAUUAGAUA